rnacentral:snRNA from 1 species
GGAGUAUAGACGAGAUUUCCAA